UACGUAGGUGGCGAGCGUUGUCCGGAUUUAUUGGGCGUAAAGCGCGCGCAGGUGGUGCGGUAAGUCCUGUGUGAAAUCUCCCGGCUCAACUGGGAGGGUGCGGAGGAGACUGCCGGACUGGAGGCACUCAGAGGCCGGUGGAAUUCCCGGUGUAGUGGUGAAAUGCGUAGAGAUCGGGAGGAGCACCAGUGGCGAAGGCGGCCGGCUGGGGGUGACCUGACGCUGAGGCGCGAAAGCGUGGGGAGCGAACCGG
rnacentral:rRNA from 1 species